GACGAACCGUGCGAACGUUAUUUCGGAAUCACUGGGCUUAAAGCGCGUGUAGGCGGGCCGGCACGUCGGUUGCUGAAAGCCCCCGGCUCAACUGGGGAGGGUCACGCGAUACUGAUCGACUCGAAGGCAGGAGAGGGAAGUGGAAUUCCCGGUGUAGUGGUGAAAUGCGUAGAUAUCGGGAGGAACACCAGUGGCGAAGGCGACUUCCUGGCCUGUUCUUGACGCUGAGGCGCGAAAGCUAGGGGAGCAAACGGG
rnacentral:rRNA from 1 species